rnacentral:rRNA from 1 species
UACCGGCAGCUCAAGUGGUAGCCGCGAUUAUUGGGCCUAAAACGUUCGUAGCCGGAUAAGUAAGUCUUUGGUUAAAUCCUGCGACUCAACCGUGGGAAUUCUAGAGAUACUGCUCGUCUUGAGACCGGGAGAGGUUGGAGGUACUCCUAGGGUAGGGGUUAAAUCCUGUAAUCCUAGGGGGACCACCUGUGGCGAAGGCGUCCAACUGGAACGGGUCUGACGGUGAGGGACGAAACCUAGGGGAGCGAGC